rnacentral:rRNA from 1 species
GGCCCGCACAAGCGGUGGAGUAUGUGGUUUAAUUCGACGCAACGCGCAGAACCUUACCCAGUCUUGACAUCCUACGAAUCUGAUAGAAGUAUCGGAGUGCCUCCGCAAGGAGGAAUGUAGUGACAGGUGCUGCAUGGCUGUCGUCAGCUCGUGUCGUGAGAUGUUCGGUUAAGUCCGGUAACGAGCGCAACCCCUAUCCUUAGUUACAAAAUGGACUCUAAGGAGACUGCCGGUGUCAAAACCGGAGGAAGGUGGGACGACGUCAAGUCCUCAUGGCCCUUACGACUGGGGCUACACACGUAGCUACAAUGGCAACUACAAUGGGGCAGCGAAAUCGCGAGAUGGAGCUAA